CUUGUAGAUAUGCGUCCUCAAUGGAUGACAUCAGGGAGGAAGAGGAACGUUAAACAGAGCAACUGACACAACAUCUUCUCUGUGCUGAAGCUCUGAGAGAAAAGACACAAGGUGCUGGGGAAAGAGCAGCAGACUGGAUGGAGAUGAGGACAUCAAGACAAGCGGCACACAAAGCACUACAGAGGAGAUCAAAGACGUCUCCUCCCCGUGAAGCAGGAUUCUGGCUUCAGUCGAUUCAUUUGCAGGGUCUCUCUGAGACGAACCGGUCGCUCCAGGUCGUACUAAAUGAAGGGCGACCAGAGAAGAGGUGAGUAUUUGUUUAAGACUGACUUUUGUCAGCGAGCCGGCGGUUGCAUUUAACUGUUAGCUGCUGAAAUAAUCAUGCAGCUUAAACAUUGACACAUUUGCUAUGUUGUAUUACCAGAACGAGCGUUAGAGCACUUUUUACCUCUGUAACACUGGCUUUUAUGUCUCUCUGUGAAAGCAGUAACACUCAAAUAGCAUCUCUUUUGGCUGCUGUGAUUUUAUAAUGUGACACGGUACUAUGAUGCGUCAGCUCUGUUUAAAACAUUUCUUAUGAAUCCUUCUAGUGCACCAGCACUCUAACAUACAUACACUCAGUGGCCAGUUUAUUACAGCGAGCUAAAACUAAUACAACA